UACGUAGGGUGCAAGCGUUGUCCGGAAUUAUUGGGCGUAAAGAGCUCGUAGGCGGUUUGUCGCGUCUGCUGUGAAAACUCGGGGCUUAACCCCGGGCCUGCAGUGGGUACGGGCAGACUAGAGUGCGGUAGGGGAGACUGGAAUUCCUGGUGUAGCGGUGAAAUGCGCAGAUAUCUGGAGGAACACCGGUGGCGAAGGCGGCAUCCUGGACCAACACUGACGCUGAGUGAGCGAAAGCCAGGGGAGCAAAGCGGG
rnacentral:rRNA from 1 species